CCGACCUUCGGGGAGCCUAUACAGGUGUUGCAUGGCUGUCGUCAGCUCGUGUCGUGAGAUGUUCGGUUAAGUCCGCUAACGAGCGCAACCCUCGUCGUAUGUUAUAUGUGUCAUACGAGACUGCCGGUAAAAAGCCGGAGGAAGGUGAGGAUGAUGUCAAGUCAGCAUGACCUUUAUAUCCAGGGCUACACACACGCUACAAUGGUCUGUACAAUGGGUAGCCAAGCCGCGAGGCGGAGCCAAUCCUGAAAGCAGGCCUCAGUUCAGAUUGCAGUCUGCAACUCGACUGCAUGAAGCCGGAGUUGCUAGUAACCGCAGGUCAGCAAUACUGCGGUGAAUACGUUCCCGGGUCUU
rnacentral:rRNA from 1 species